UGCUUGCUUUACCUUUCAUUUUCACUUUUCGUGUUUUGUGGGAUAGAGCAUCUUUCAUUUUCCCCUUCCUCUUCUUUUCUCCUCUCUCUCUCUCUGUCUUUGUGUGCCUUUUUCGAUUUCUCUAUCUCUUUCGUUUCAAUUCCAAUCCGAUCGUUUGUGAGUGAUCAAUAUUGGCAGUCGCAAGGACGCGGUGGAUCUGUUGGAAAUAUGAGCAUUAGUGCAUGCACACAGUGAUCGAUAUACAAAGAUAUCAAGUGAUCGAGAGCAGAGCACAAGGAUUUCUGGUAUUAUACUCAACAAAUUGACAAAAUUUGAGUGAGUUGGUCUGUUAGUACAUCCAUGGUUUGGUUUAGUUUGGUCACAGUGGCGAGGCCGCCAAAAACAUGUAAUAAAUUAAAGGAAAAAUUAGUAUUCGGUCCAUACGAGGUUCGAUAUUGCUUACUUAGUAAUUGUCGUGAGUCAGUUUAUGAAUGCAUCCAGUGAGGAUCAUAUGGCGGCGGUAAUACGAAUUUUGAGUUACUUAAAAGAAGCUCCAAGGAAAUGACUAAUGUACAGGAAGCAUGGGCAUAUGGAGGUGAAAGGGUACACCAGUGUAGAUUGGGUUGUAAAUAUUACUAAUCGGCGGUUCACUUCAUGUUAUUUUACAUUUGUAACUAGUAACCUUGUAACCUGGAGAAGUAAAAAGUAAAAUGUGGCACGCGACAUUUUCGGCAGUGGCUGAAUACAAAGGAAUGGCACAUGGUAUUCGUGAGCUUUUGUGGCUUUGGAUUAUGCUUACUAAAGUAGAGUUUAAGCCCAAAGAUCAUAUGUUGUUGUAUUGUGAUAAUCAAGCGCGGGAGAUAGCUAAUAAUCCAGUGCAGCAUGAUAGGACUAAACAUGUUGAGGUGAACAUGCACUUCAUAAAAUAAAAUAAAAAAUUAGAUGUUAAGUUGGUUGACAUUCUGUUCGUAAAGACAGAUGAGCAGCUAACAGAUGUUCUGGCACAUGCAGUCUCGGCAAGGAGGUUUCAGUACUCACUCAACAAGUUAGGCCUAGAUAAUAUCUACAUGCCAACUUGAAGGGGAAUGUUGGUGUGAGUCAACAUGUUAAAUGAAUUAGGAGUGUAUGUAUGUUUCCUAUAUUUAUGCUUCCUAGUUUGGUUGUAACUCUCUGAGGAGAGAAGUUGUGUAUAUAUGUUACCUCCCAACGGGAGGAGUAAAAAGAAAAAGAUUUGAAACA